rnacentral:rRNA from 1 species
AAUAUUGCACAAUGGGGGAAACCCUGAUGCAGCAACGCCGCGUGAGCGAUGAAGGCCNNNGGGUUNUCACGCUCUGUCCUACGNGAUNAUAAUGACGGUACCUUAGGAGGAAGCCCCGGCUAACUACGUGCCAGCAGCCGCGGUAAUACGUAGGGGGCAAGCGUUAUCCGGAAUCAUUGGGCGUAAAGGGUGCGUAGGCUGCCCUAUAGGUCAGAGGUCAAAGGCUACGGCUCAACCGUAGUAAGCCUUUGAAACUGUAGGGCUUGAGUGCAGGAGAGGAGAGUGGAAUUCCUAGUGUAGCGGUGAAAUGCGUAGAUAUUAGGAGGAACACCAGUGGCGAAGGCGACUCUCUGGACUGAAACUGACGCUGAGGCACGAAAGCGUGGGUAGCGGACA